ACCACCCAUUUCCCUUUCCUUCUUCCUCACCCAAUCCAGCGCCGACAGUCUUCAUCUCCUCUUGAUCCGCCAUCGCCGGCGACCAUCGAGCUCGACGCCAAGCUGUGAGGACGAAUACCAUAGCUAGCCGUCGACGAUCGCUGCCACCGUCUAUUUACGCGACCAAUUGGCGACACUGGCGACUGUCGCAAGAGCUGCAGAGCUCCCUCCAUGGCCGAUCACUUCAGCUGACCACCCAUCUGAGGUCGGCAAUCUUUGUGCACUAGCCUCCCGAUUCCUUCUUUCCCUAAUCUCAAUUUUCCUUCUUCUCCUUCUCAUCGCCGUCGCUGGGAGGAGGAGAAAUCGAAGAGGGGAUUAGGGCAAUCCUCUCUUAUCUCUUGCGGUUUCGAGCAAAGCGGCAGUGUUCCGUCAGGGAGGUCCAAUGUCUUCUACUCUUCAUGGAAUUUCUGUUCCUUUUCCUUGCCGGCAUAGAACGAUCGUCGAAGAUUUGAUCUCACUAUCACCUCAAAGCUUAUCGCCAGUGUAUCUCUACAUUUCUUCAUCUCCGGCCCAGAUUCACCGCUGUCCUGUGCCAGGAGCCGUUAAGCCCCAGUUGUGCUGUUCGUGAGGCAUCCACAGCUCCAGCUACUUUCCAACGGCAAGCUUCCCCGGUCAUGGGUCAACGGCUGCGCGAUUGGAUUUGGGAUACUAGGCGGAGACACAUCUCGACGAGACAUUACCUAUCACGAUCUACGUAAAAAGGCG